rnacentral:rRNA from 1 species
GAUGAACGCUGGCGGCGUGCCUAAUACAUGCAAGUCGAGCGAAUGGAUUAAGAGCUUGCUCUUAUGAAGUUAGCGGCGGACGGGUGAGUAACACGUGGGUAACCUGCCCAUAAGACUGGGAUAACUCCGGGAAACCGGGGCUAAUACCGGAUAAUAUUUUGAACUGCAUGGUUCAAAAUUGAAAGGCGGCUUCGGCUGUCACUUAUGGAUGGACACGCGUCGCAUUAGCUAGUUGGUGAGGUAACGGCUCAUCAAGGCAACGAUGCGUAGCCGACCUGAGAGGGUGAUCGGCCACACUGGGACUGAGACACGGCCCAGACUCCUACGGGAGGCAGCAGUAGGGAAUCUUCCGCAAUGGACGAAAGUCUGACGGAGCAACGCCGCGUGAGUGAUGAAGGCUUUCGGGUCGUAAAACUCUGUUGUUAGGGAAGAACAAGUGCUAGUUGAAUAAGCUGGCACCUUGACGGUACCUAACCAGAAAGCCACGGCUAACUACGUGCCAGCCGCCGCGGUAA